AACGAACGCUGGCGGCAUGCCUAACACAUGCAAGUCGAACGAGAUCUUCGGGUCUAGUGGCGCACGGGUGCGUAACGCGUGGGAAUCUGCCCUUUGGUUCGGAAUAACAGUUGGAAACGACUGCUAAUACCGGAUGAUGACGAAAGUCCAAAGAUUUAUCGCCAGAGGAUGAGCCCGCGUAGGAUUAGCUAGUUGGUGUGGUAAAGGCGCACCAAGGCGACGAUCCUUAGCUGGUCCGAGAGGAUGAUCAGCCACACUGGGACUGAGACACGGCCCAGACUCCUACGGGAGGCAGCAGUGGGGAAUAUUGGACAAUGGGCGAAAGCCUGGUCCAGCAAUGCCGCGUGAGUGAUGAAGGCCUUAGGGUUGUAAAGCUCUUUUACCCGGGAUGAUAAUGACAGUACCGGGAGAAUAAGCUCCGGCUAACUCCGUGCCAGCCGCCGCCGUAAGAC
rnacentral:rRNA from 1 species